rnacentral:lncRNA from 1 species
GAGCAUGUGAAGAGGCAGAAUUACCAUCUUCCCGCUCAAAAAGCUUCUGACAUGGGUGUGAUCUGAUUUGAAGGGUUUAUUUCUGGUAAAUCAGCAUUCUGUCAGAUGCACUCCUAUCCUCAGAAACCUUCACCCUUGCACAGUCCUCUAAGUCCUGAGGUGGCGGCGAGGCCAGGAAGUGCUUACCAGUUCAAAAAGUCAAGCCCGGCUUCACUUGUGCCUGUCAGCUCCCAUGAAAGUUAUACGUCUGCAAACUCACUGGAGUCACCUUAUGAAUCACUGCCCUCAUUUGUGCCCUGCUGGCUCAGGGGAGCACAGUCCUGCCUCUGUCCCCAAGGGAAAGGGCUGCUAGGAUUGACCGUGGCAAUAGUUUCAACAGUGGUGUUUCUCAGCAUGAACCUUGGGUUUUAUACACUGCUCUAAAAAACAAACGGAAUAAUAGGUCACAGAAACACUGUGCAACACACUACCUUUAAAAAAAAAA